GAAAAAAUCACCUAAAUACACCAAAACAAGGGCAGGAAAAGUAAUAAGAGUUUUACUAACAAUUAUGCAUUACGACCAUAAUAAAAGAUGAUAUAUAUAACUCUAAAACCAAGGACAAUGGUCACAAUGUAUCUUCUUCUAAUAACUAUAAAUAAAAGUUCACCAUACAUAUGAAAACUUGAAAAAUUGAUAAAACGUUCACAACAAACUCAUAUACAUGCAUAAGUUGUUAUUCUUUCACUCUUUAAAGCUUCUAGUGUUUGAGAAAUAUACUUUUAAAAAAAUUGUUAAAAAGAGUG
rnacentral:lncRNA from 1 species